GGGGUUGUGGCUCAGUAGAGCACACGUCUUGCACACGUGAGGAACUGGGUUCAAUCUUCAGCACCA
rnacentral:tRNA from 1 species